rnacentral:rRNA from 1 species
GAUGAACGCUGGCGGCGUGCCUAAUACAUGCAAGUCGAGCGAACGGACGAGGCUCUUGCGUCUCUGAUGUUAGGGGCGGAGGGGUGAGUCACACGUGUAUAACGUACCUAUAUGACGGGGAAAAUUUCGGAAAACCGGAUCUUACACCGGAGAAGCUUUUGAACCGCAUGGUUCAAAAGUGAAAGACGGCCUUGCUGGCACGAAUAGAUGGAUCCCGGCUGCAUUAGCUAGUUGGUAAGGUAACGGCUUACCAAGGCAACGAUGCAUAGCCGAGGUGAGAGGGGGGUCGGCGACACGGGAACUGAGACACGGUCCAGACUCCUACGGGAGGCAGCAGUAGGGAAUCUUCCGCAAUGGGCGAAAGCCUGACGGAGCAACGCCGCGUGAGUGAUGACGGUCUUCGGAUCGUAAUACUCUGUUAUUAGGGAAGAACAUCUGUGGAAGUAACUGUGCCCAUCUUGACGGUAACUAAUCAGAAAGCCCCGGCUAACUACGUG